rnacentral:rRNA from 1 species
AACGAACGCUGGCGGCAGGCCUAACACAUGCAAGUCGAACGCCCUAGCAAUAGGGAGUGGCAGACGGGUGAGUAACGCGUGGGAACCUUCCCUAUGGUGCGGAAUAACUCGCCGAAAGGCGUGCUAAUACCGCAUAAGCCCGCAAGGGGAAAGAUUUAUCGCCAUAGGAUGGGCCCGCGUAGGAUUAGCUAGUUGGUGAGGUAAUGGCUCACCAAGGCGACGAUCCUUAGCUGGUGAGAGAAUGACCAGCCACACUGGGACUGAGACACGGCCCAGACUCCUACGGGAGGCAGCAGUGGGGAAUCUUGGACAAUGGGCGCAAGCCUGAUCCAGCCAUGCCG